UGUCAGUAUUUGCAGGCUGGUCAUGUGAUCAACUGUAGCAGUUUGAGAAGGAAGAGAAUCUGAGUAAUAAAGGUUUGAGGUUUCUAAAAACUUAGAUUACAUGCUAUCUCAGGAUGUUAUAAAUGAAGUCAGAAUGGGUGUGAAAUAACUUUUGUAGUUAAACUGGAGCUCUUCUACUAUUUGGAAUUGAGAUAUGAGAAAUCUGUGGAAAUGCAACCGGCCAGCAGUGGCAACCUGAAGCAGCUGUAGGAAACCAAAAGAUUCCUGCGAUUGUUCAAAUGACACCUCUUCAAUCGCAAAAUGUCUGAUGAGAAGAAGAUUAAAGAAAAUCUUAGAAAAGGUGUGAAAAUAGCACUAACGUGUAUUGAAGUUUUAUGUACAUCGGCAUCUGCAAUCUGUCCCUUUUUUGGACCUGCAGGAUCCAUUUGCAAAGUGAUUUUAAAAUGUAUGGAAGAUAACGGUGAAGGAAUGCUUGGUGCAGAGUUUGAAAAAGUUAACAUGGAGCUACAGAACAUUUACAAAGCAAACCAAGAUGUGCUUAAUGAGAUUAAGAAACAAAAAAGUGAUUACCAGUUGUCUGAAAUAGAGUUUUUCUUGAAGAAGUACUUUAAUGCUUUAUUAAACAUUGAGAAAGCAAGACCAGAAGAUGUUGAGAAAGAGACAGAAAAAUUCAUUGAGAUGUAUAAAGGGAGACAAGAAGAAGAUCUAUUGGCCCUCUGUAAACUUGUAGUAGGAAAUGUGGUGUAUGGUGAUCCAAUUCUAAAAGUGUGUAAAACAUGGUCUAAAGGAGAUAAAAAUGCCAUGAUGAAUUUAUGUGACCACUUAAGGUUUCUGUUAAGCAUUGGCCUGAAUUGUUACAUGUUCUACUUGACUAUCACUGAUGCGGAAGACAUCGAGGAGCAAUCUGAAAAAUGGAAAGAAAGGCUAGUGAAAGCCAACAGGAAGAUGGAACAAGCCAUUCGAGAAUGCCGCUAAGAAUACAAUCAGCUAAGAAAAACAAAAGCUAUGCCAGUUAUUUUGUCACAGUGCUUGUUUUAAUUUAUAUGAAAAAUGCUUGCAUGUUAUACAUACCUAAUGUAUUUGGUGAAUAGAAUGAAAUAAAACAGACUACAAUCGCCUUUUUUAAUGAUUUCACCUUCCUUUGUGUUAUUCUACUUCAGAAUAUUCCACUAUUACAAGAUCAGAUGUUUAAAACCAAUGUAGUAGCUUCCUAAUUUGUGUUCUCUGGGAAAACCUAUAUUUCACUGACUCCUCUCACUUGAUUCAAAUUCAGGUUAUGCGAACUAGCGUCUUGUAAUGUCCUUGUGGUUAAAAGUGCUUGUUUCAUUGCUGUCCAUUUAUGUCUGUAUUUGUAGCACCCAUUGCCACCCUAUUACAGAGCAUCAUUUAAUGUUAGUAGAUCUGUAUCCUCUGUUUACAACUGUGAUAUGUGGUUUGUAAUGAUAUAACUUAAUUAAAUUUCACUGAGGCAUAAAAUGCACUUUGAAUAGGACUUUCUACACUUGUACUUGUUCCUGUGAGUAUCCUUUGUUAUUGAAACUACAGUGCUGAUUGUGGAAAAACAUUCCUGUUUUCUAGUAUGUAUUGACGCUGUAUUUUAUUUGUAAGUCAUGAAUGGGGUUUCACUUGUCCAACUUUUACGCAGUGAUCUUGCCUAUUUAUCUUACCUUUUUUCUUGUGAUUGCAGCUAUAAGGCUGGUGAUCAGAAAGUUGUGACCUGUUAAAAGUACUUUUUGUAGGGCGGGGGGACUUCCCCUCCUACAGUCCUUUACUCGUGUAUGCUACCUCUGACAUCCUACAUCCUCUGGGAAGAAAAUGCAUGUCCCAACCCAAAGUCUGUGUGGUCUCACUAUUUGUGAAUAAUUUGUGAUCACUGAACUGAUGUCUGUGACCAUACAAAACACAAGUGGAAAACUGUAGUAUCGUGUGUGUGUGUGUGUGUGUGUGUGUGUAUGUGUGUCCAUUCACACUGUUUUCGUCAGUAAUACAUUUUCAUGGGAAAGCAGUCUUUCACUUCAUUUUGUGACUGUUGAAACAAUGUAUUUAUUACCCAUACCUAAAAGCAAUCAGAGUAUGAGACAUGACUGAGCUACAUAGAUGUUGGAUAUUUUUGUCAAGUAGAAAUGAUACCCUGUGUAACAUCAAACUGAGUAAUACAUUUUAUUGCAAAUGUAAAGAAUAAUAGUUUAAAAAUGUUUUCUCUACAUUAGAAUUAUGUUCGGGAAAAAAUAUUGUCUAAUCUGAGGUGCCUGAAAAUGUAAAUUAGCAGGGGAAAUUUACCAAAGAAUGGUAGCUUGUCUUCCAUCAUUUUACACUUCUUCAGUAUACCAGAACAAUUAUUUCUUGUUAAUGUUCUGAGAUCUGUGACUGGAUUGUUAGAGUAGCAAAAUAUCUGUUCAGUUUCCUUGAUUCUUAAGUUUAUUGCAUAGAGUUAUUUGUAGAUUUUGGUAUCCUGAAGUAAGUGUAAGUCUGAAAUGAAUAUUGAUGAUGCAGAGAAUGUUUAUUGAAACACAUUAGCUGAUUUGGUUUCUAUUGUAAAACGGAUGCAGGUGCCUUUAACUUGUGCAUGCUGAUCCUUCAAAGAUUAGCUGAGGGGAAUUCCCACUGUAAUUGGAAGUAUUAUUUUAGCAAAUGGAACUGGUUUCCUUAAUAUUCAUUCUCACCAUGCAUACUUGCAAAAGAAAAUUGUUUGCAAUAUACUGUUUAAGUAAACACGGUUUUGCAAGACGGUAUUAACCUAAAUUUGGAAUAGUGAUGUUUUAUGUGUUGAAUAUAAUAUUAUUGUAUAGCUAGUACAGCAGUCAUCAAAAGGUCUACUAGAAGAUGAAUGCAAAACGAUGCCAAGUUAUUCAUCAUAUCUCACUUUACAGUAGAAUCUGUACAUUCUCUAUAUGGUAUGCUUUGCUGAACUCUGAUACCUGUUGAAUGGGCAAAUACAGCUUGCUCACAAGGUUUUGCCAGCGUAUUUGCUGAAAAUGACCAAUCACCAUAAAAUAUUUAGGUAAAGAUAACAGUUAUAUAAUACAGGAUCUACUUCUACUUGGUGAAUAUACUACACAAAUUAAAAUAACACAUACAACAGAAAUGCAAAACAGAUAAAUCUUAUGUUCUUUCAUUUUAAGGUGCCAAACAUGUCUAAAGAGUAUUGAACAGAAUGCUGUGACAGUCUGUAAAUGUUUUUUUGAGAAAUGCCGGAAAGGCCAUUGGAGAGAAUUGUCAAGUACUGUUGCAGAAGUAAUAUUCUACUGCUUAGUGUAAUGAUAGCUUGUGUAUAAUAUAUGAGUAAGUGACGUAUACCACUUAAGUAACAGUAUUACUACAGUUAAAACAGUUAAAAUAUGGUCAUAUUCACUCCCAUACCUGCUUAAUGAAAUGGUUUCAGAAGUGCACUAGCUUGGAGUUCCCAUUGUACAGCUGUGGAAGCACAGCUUGUGAUCUUGUCAGUUUCACAGUGAUAGUGUUACUAGGUGAGCCGCCCAUCCAUCACAUGGCACACUCAGACUGCACUUCCAUUUUUCACCAGUAUAUUUCUGCUGUUGCAUUUUCAUGAAACAGCAACAGUAUAAAUGUUUCAACAAAUAUGGGUGGGACCCAUAAUAUGGAUGUGCUCUAUACCUUUACCUUCCAACAGCAAUAAUUAGGGCUGUUAUCAUUAGCAAAUACUUAUGAAAACCCUGUGAGAGGGAAAUGCACAGCUGUACACAAAAAAGAGUACUGGUAUUGUAGCAUGUAACUUUAUGAAGGUUGCUGGCCAGUCAUUAAUAUGAGCCUAGACACAGUGGACCACACUACAUGUUGUGGUGUCCUUGUAUACUGAAAGAUGCAGUUUGGACAUGCAUGUGUUCUGUAGGUUGCAUAGUGUACUUGUCUCCCCUCCCUGUAGUGCGCUUCAUGUCUCUGUCAUACUACAAACAUCAUCCAAUGUCUGAUGCAUCAUUGUAAGGUGGGGUACACAGUCCUGUUGUGAAAAGGAACACAGUACUGCACCACGUUGUGCAUCUGUCACACUGCAGACACUGUCUAGCAUGACAUAUCACUGUAGUGUCUAUUUAUCUUUCUUUUGUACAGUUGCACAUUUCCCUCCCUAAGUUGAGCUGCAUAGCAGUGUUGUAAAAAGGUACACAGUAUUACAUCUCUGUAAGGUGGUCUGUCUGGUACAACUUUGCAGCCUGACACAGCUCCUGCACUGUCUUUUUAGUAGUUAGCUUCCUAUUGUUGUAUAGUGUAUGCAAAGGUGCACUGCUCUUUCAACAUACAAUACCAUUCAUCUCCCCUAAGGACCUUGCUCAUGCUCACAGAAGUGUAAGUUACUUAGUGCUGCUGCUGUUUACCUUGUGCUUCUGUCUGAACUCAUUCCUUUGCACCUUGUGUACUUUGUUGUUGUAGGAGACAAGAGUACACUGCUGCUGUGGUUGUUAAGGAGAAUGUAAUACCCCUUAGACUUUCCUCAAGAGCCUUAUGUGCUCUUCAGGCAUAUCUCCCCUCUUGUUUAUAUUAUUGCAUGGAGAUUUGCCCUACAAGCAUUGUUCCUUUUUGAAAUUGUUGGCACAUAGUGCCAUCCUUUUGUGUGCCUUAAGUUGCUAUUAACCCCCUGUUCUGCUAUUCCCAGAUAGGGUGCAGAGUGGCAUCCUGUUAUGUGGCCUAUGAAUAGUUAUGUCACUUACCCUGUGCAACUCUUCUGUUGUGUGUACCAACCAUCCAAUUGUAGCAUGCAUGGGCUACUUUCUGUCACGUAUGCUAGUUUGUUUCUGAGCUGUAUGUCUGUUGUUAUGGUGUGUGAGUCUCUUUUGUGAAGCAUAUUAAUGAAGACUGGAUGGUGAGCCUGAGUCUGCCACACAGGUGAGGUUAUUUAUUUCAUGGCAGAAUGGUGCACAGUGUAACAGCAUAAAAUGUGGAUAGUGGGUCAGCCUUUUAUAAUUGUCACGUCAUAAAUGAUGUAUCCACUGUGUAUGACUUCAUCCAUAUUAGCUGCUCAUGUUGACAUAAAUGCUCCUGUAUAUUCUGCUGGCUAGUGUUACAGAAUGACUCACUGACAUUUUUGUUUCUACUAGUCUCCUGCUAAAUACAGUUGCUACAUUUAAUGCUUGCUUUGCUGAGGUGACACACUGCAAGCCAUGCCACAUACAUUUUUUCUGGGUCACAACUCUGUUCAUUGGACACAAUGCAGAUGCCUUAAUCCAGUGAAUCCUGAAUGGAACACAAGUCCAUCACAGGGUGUGUGUAUGUAUGUGUGUCUGUUUAUAGACAUAGCAUGCGGACACACACACACAAACACACACACACGCACACGCACACACUGCAACUGCAGGCACAUUGAAGGCUCACCAGAUGUGAUGCGAUUGGUGUCCAUUUUCUUAUACUUUUAGAACUCGAGGCUAGCAGGAUAAUGGCAGCCCUGCCUUCUGUUAGCUCAAGGAAAAAGGAGCACAGGAAAAGAAGAAACCAAGGAAGGAGACAAAAAUGUCCCUGGAACAACUUCUAAACCCAGACCAAAAUGUCUGGGGGGGGGGGGGAGUAGUUGGAGUCAUAAAGAAAAUGGAUUUGGUCUCUCAUUAUUAUUAAAGUAGGUAACUUUCAUAUGCGAUGGCAUCCGUUCAUCUUCCUCAACCUCUGAUAGAGUCCCAAGAAAAACUUGUUUGUUGAACCACUGUAAAAGUUGUGUCUAGAGAGAACAUCUCCAAGUACUACUAAACUGGUGAUAUCGGACCUACAGAUAUCUCAUGAGAAGACUGGAGACUAAUAGGAGGCUAGUAUUAAUAAUCAAAAUAUAACAGGAGAAGAGAUGGUAGACUAUGGGCACCAAAACUCAAGUUCCAGUCACAUUAUUCUCACUUUGGCUGUUAGUGUAAUGUGGCUAUUGUGGCUAAUCAAUGUGAUAUAUAGUAUCACUGGAUGAAGAAUGGAAAAUGUUAAGGAAAAACCUGUAUUCUGGGAAUAGGCAACCUAGAAGCCAUAUGCUGUGAAGCUUCUGGAAAACUAACCCUAAUGUGAGAAAAGGUAUGAGGCCAGCAAAAGUAGACCCCAAGAAGAAAGAGGGAUCUUAGAUGUUAGCAAAGAAAUAGCCAUAGUCUAAAUGCAAUUAAAACCUAUUUAAGAUUUGAUUCAUCACUUGCAGUUUAGUAUGUCUGUAAAACCAUUUUUAAAUCUAAUUAAAAUUGUAGACAGACGAACAUUGUUGCCAUGAAAACUGUCUUACAGUUAGGAAAUGUUCAUCAAUCUUUAAUGCAUUAACAGUGUAGGCUGAGGCAUGUUGUGUAUGUUAUUAGAAUAGUUCAUGAUUCUUAAUUAAAAUCUUGCUGUUUUCUUGGGCACUUCUGUUGCACUCUAGUGCUGACUUCUGAUUAUGUUCAGCUUUUUUGUCUUUGUGUACUUCUGGAGUAUCAUAGCUCUGAUAAUACUUCCAGUCUCAGCCAUGCUUCAUUCUUAAACUUUACACCAUAAAAAUUAGAAUGUAUGUGGCCAUAUGUAACUGUUCUACUGCAUCCAUCUUAGGAUUGAAAAGCUAGCGUACAAUUAACGGCUUCUUUUAUUAAAGUAUAUACAUCUAUUGAGUUGAUAGUAACUGGGCAAUUCCAUAACAUUUGUAUUAUACAAAUAUAUAUAUUGCAAUGUAUGUUCCCUUUACCUCUUUGCUAAUUUUAAUUAUUUCACUUGAAAUAGCAAUCCAUGUGCAUCUUUUACAUCUGAUGGUAAAGUUCAUUGUCUCUUCAUAAUAUACCACAGCUAGUGAAAUCCAAAAAAAAAAACUGUAAUUUGCUAAGACCAGUUGUCAACCAUGAGUGGCUUAACCACUCAUGGAAAAAAGUGUGACAGUCACACAACUCACAAGAAUCUCACAAGAGUGGCAUAUCUAAAAGAGGUUAAACCUUUUACAAGCUGCUCAAGUUUGACCCAAAUCCAGCCACACCACAGGCAUGACUAAAUUCCAGUCUAUUGCAGACACAAACUUGAUACAUUAAUGUUAUGUAGAUGUUUAUCAUAGCAUUCACUGUUGCAGUGUGCAGGUAGCACAUGACAAACCCUACUUGUGGAACUUCACUCUGCACAAGGGCUUUGUCCUUUACCCUUCCACCAAAGUGUAGAUAGUUUGAUGGUGUAAAGGAUGAAUCAGUUUACACCAUCUUCAGGUCAUUCUUGAUGUGUAGUGUACAUAACUUUGGUGGUAUUGUAACUUCAGGAGGGUAAGGCAGGAUUCCCAUAAUCCUGGUACACUAGAAGGCUCCUGUUGACUGCAUCAAACUCUUUGCUUCUCACCCAAGACAUGAGGCCCCCAGUUUAGUAGUUCCUGAAGUUUCACAAACCAGUGCCUGUCAGCAUGCUUUGGCAUGGUUAGGUAAUGCAUCUUCCUGUUAUACUUCGGAGGCUUCUACUGAAUCCUUACUGAGCAAGCAAGGUACUGCAACGAAUAAAGUCUGAUGUUUUCAGUAGAGAACAGUUCAGUACAAUGCAGGCUGUUCCAUCAUCACUAAAGUUCUUAUAAGGGUCUCCCCUAUACAAUAUGUACAGUAGUGGAGAGGGAGCUGUGACUAGCCAGUGUAUUCUAUUACCUUGGGAUUUCAGAUGUCACAUGACCUAAGGAGUUCUGGAUAGUCAGUAGCUCCAAAAUGGCAGAAUGUACUGCUUGGUUGCUAGUUUGACUGACCUGUAUUGUUUACAGUGACUGGUAAAACAUAUUUGUUUCAAUAAGAAUUUUUACAGGAAAUUUAAGUCUUUUGAAAACAAGACAUUUCUCUUUUCUUGAUAAGAGUUGCAUCUGAAUUUUGGUAUACUGACAAGCUGUUUAAAAACGUCCUGCCGCUUAUUGAGUUUUUAUUUAGUAGGAUUAUACGAAGUGUUUGUUUCUCUCUCCUUGUCUGCAGGAAGUAAGACAUCCUGGAUUCUGCCUUGAACUUAUGUUAUAUAUUUGAUGUUUUAUUUGAUUAUUUUUGUGGUAUGAAAUUUGUACAAGCAUGAUUAAGCUACCUGAGUCUUUCUCUUCUGGCAUAUUGAAUGUGUCAGCAGCGUAUAUGCUGCAUGCCUUAAAAAGUGACUAUAACAGUUGCGAUGAAAAGCUGUUUUAGAAUGUACUAAUCAGUUUAGGACAUAACUGUACGAUAUAAUUUUGAGCAGGGACAACAAAACCUGAGUAAGUUCCAUUCCAAUUUGCAGUAUAAAGCUUUGUUAACCUUUUCUUACUUGUCUGUACUGUUUCUUUCUAUAUGACUCUCCCUGAGGAAGACUGUAUGUGGAAUUUUGUGCUUUCCCAAUAAUAGACAUAUUUUACUGUAAAAAUAGGGAAAAAAUCUUCUGAGUUCUUUGGGGCAUGUGUCAGUAUAAAUAUUUAGAAUGCAUUUGUACUUCUGUAACUAUAGGUAAAAAAAAAAAAAACUGUGUCUUCAAUUUUCAAAAAGCAGGUAUUAAAACUGAAAUGUGUAUUACCAAUAUGCAAAAUAAAACUACUCUUUUGUUGGUUUCCAAGGUAAUUAGCAUUGCUUGUGUAAUGUGUAUUGCAUAUGAAAACUCCUUUGCUUAGUUACAGGAGUAAAUGCAUUUUAAUUAACACUUUAGUGAACUGGUGUUUAAAUAGAAAACCCUUUUACUUAUAACAUAUAAACUCGGAUACAUGUGUUUUCAGAGAAUCAGGGAAGUACUGCUGUGCACCAUUUAUGUGAUUUCAUUGCAAAAUAUGACUAUCUUUACAGCAGUUCAGUACAAGAAAUAUGAACAUACUUGUGUCUGUGUAAUGUAUUUGCUGGCUGAAUUGCAAUAAAUAGUUUCAAAAUAAA